rnacentral:rRNA from 1 species
AAUGAACGCUAGCGGCGUGUUUAAGACAUGCAAGUCGAACGAAAUGGAAUUAGCUUGCUAAUGAAGUUUAGUGGCGGACGGGUGAGUAACGCGUGAUUACCUGCCAUAAAGAGGGGGAUAGUCCUGGGAAACUGGGUUUAAUACCGCAUGUGCUCUACGGAGUAAAGAGGGCUUCGGCUCUCGCUUUAUGAUGGAAUCGCGUCCUAUCAGCUAGUUGGUGAGGUAAAGGCUCACCAAGGCAACGACGGGUAGCUGGUCUGAGAGGACGAUCAGCCACACUGGUACUGAGACACGGACCAGACAUCUACGGAUGGCAGCAGUCGAGAAUCAUUCACAAUGGGGGAAACCCUGAUGGUGCAACGCCGCGUGGAGGAAGAAGGCCCUUGGGUUGUAAACUCCUGUCAUGUAGGAGUAAGUCAUAUUAGUUAACAGCUGAAUAUGAUUGAUAGUACUACAAGAGGAAGGGACGGCAAACUUCG